rnacentral:rRNA from 1 species
AGUCGAGGGGCAGCCAGAGAUAGCUUGCUAUUUUGGUGGCGACCGGCGCACGGGUGCGUAACGCGUAUGCAAUCUACCUUAUACUGGGGUAUAGCCCGAAGAAAUUCGGAUUAAUCCCCCAUAGUACUGAUAUACCUCAUGGUAAUUCAGUUAAAGUUUCGGCGGUAUGAGAUGAGCAUGCGUCCUAUUAGCUAGAUGGUAAGGUAACGGCUUACCAUGGCUACGAUAGGUAGGGGGCCUGAGAGGGUGACCCCCCACACUGGUACUGAGACACGGACCAGACUCCUACGGGAGGCAGCAGUGAGGAAUAUUGGUCAAUGGGCGCAAGCCUGAACCAGCCAUGCCGCGUGCAGGAAGAAUGCCCUAUGGGUUGUAAACUGCUUUUAUUUAGGAAUAAACCUUUCUACGUGUAGAAAGCUGAAGGUACUGAAUGAAUAAGCACCGGCUAACUCCGUGCCAGCAGCCGCGGUAAUACGGAGGGUGCAAGCGUUAUCCGGAAUCAUUGGGUUUAAAGGGUCCGCAGGCGGGCGUAUAAGUCAGUGGUGAAAUCCUGCAGCUUAACUGCAGAACUGCCAUUGAUACUGUACGUCUUGAAUUCGGUCGAAGUGGGCGGAAUGUGUAGUGUAGCGGUGAAAUGCAUAGAUAUUACACAGAACACCGAUAGCGAAGGCAGCUCACUAGGCCUGGAUUGACGCUCAGGGACGAAAGCGUGGGGAUCAAACAGGAUUAGAUACCCUGGUAGUCCACGCUGUAAACGAUGAUUACUCGUUUUCGGCGAUAUACUGUCGGAGACUAAGCGAAAGUGAUAAGUAAUCCACCUGGGGAGUACGAUCGC